rnacentral:rRNA from 1 species
UAUGCACGCUGGCGGCGUGCCUAAUACAUGCAAGUCGAGCGAACAGACGAGGAGCUUGCUCCUCUGACGUUAGCGGCGGACGGGGGAGUAACACGUGGAUAACCUACCUAUAAGACUGGGAUAACUUCGGGAAACCGGAGCUAGGACCGGAUAAUAUAGUGAACCGCAUGGUUCAAUAGUGAAAGACGGUUUUGCUGUCACCUAUAGAUGGAUCCGCGCCGCAUUAGCUAGUUGGUAAGGUAACGGCUUACCAAGGCAACGAUGCGUAGCCGACCUGAGAGGGUGAGCCGCCACACUGUAACUGCGACACGUUCCCGACUCCUACGGGAGGCAGCAGUAGGGAAUCCUCCGCAAUGCGCGAAAGCCUGCCGCAGCAACGCCGCGCUAGUGCCUACGGUCUUCCGCUCCUCAAACUCCGUUAUCAGGGAAGAACAUAUUUCUCCGUAACUCUCCACGUCUUGACGGUCCCGAAUCAGACAGCCAGGGCUAACUACGCG